rnacentral:lncRNA from 1 species
GUCUUUGCGAUUCAAGAGAGCCCAGGUUUUGGUCAGUCUGAAGAUGGGUGCACUUUGCAGUGCUGACACCACAGACAUAAGAGAAUGGAGGUUAUUCAGCUCUAGAAGCUUUUUAGCAGUUUUCACAAAAUGGCUCAGUAUUUCUGCCCUUAUUUUUAACGUCUGUGCUGUUAAUAUUUCUCGUACAACCCAAAAACUGACCUGGUUAAACCUCCUAGUGAAGGCAACAAUAUUUGGAGCAAGGAUAUGCUUUUCUUUCUUAUUCC